UGUUGCGGCAUUGGGGUGACGUUGGUGGCGCUGUACCACCGAGUAGUGAAGUUGGGCGUUGGCAGCGCUGUAGUGAGCUGUUGGGUGGUAGUGAAGCUGGAGGCCGCCGGUUGGCUAGAGCGCUAGCCAAUCACCCGCAAACCGAGUCUAUGCUGAGAGCUGCCGCCACAGGUAAAGCAGAAUGCGGCCGUGUUCCGCCCACGUAACAUCUGUGUUGACAAGCUAAAAAUACGCCUGCAAUACGCUCCCUUUAUGCUACGCUACGACACUCGUCGCUCGCCGCUACAACUAUGUGACUGCACCCUGAAGCACGCUGUGAGGAUUGCGUGCCCUGGUAGCCCGAGACAAUGGCUACCGGGAGAUGAAGUGUAUGCGCAACACCUGCGUUGUCUGUGACGGCGCGGACUGCGAGCAGAGACAGUGUGUGAUACCGCUUGCGAGUUGUGACGAUUUUGAGUGCUGUACCGCUGCACUGUGAGGUGAGAUACGUUACCCAGCGAUAAGAGACGCUUUACUGAGUGAGGCCAUGUGGUGCGUGCUUUGAUUGUUCUGCGACGUGUUAGUAUACCUCGCACCCUGUAGUGCCGCUCUGUACUUUUAACAAAGACAGGAGUGCCAGGUGAAAUUGUCUCGUUACCCUUCGCCCCUCAGUAGUCCUGAGUCCAGACUGUGAGCGUGUGUGUCUGCCUCGCCCUUAAUAGCCAAACGAACCCGACAGCGACAGCAGUUGUGGAUCCGUUGUGUGUUCUGACCGCCCCUUGUCUGCUGUUAUGUUAAGAAAAAAUGCAAAAAUGGCUGGCAUAGGGAGGCAUGUAGAGGCAUUCAGUGGUUAAGCAAGGCCAUCACUGAAAUUAGAAGUACUGACCUCUGUAGACUUGAUGGUUCAGGCAGCUUAUAACAGAAGAAUGGCCGAUACAGUUGGAGGCCACGUCCCACAGCCCAUGAGGCAACUCUCAGCGGAGGGACGUCUGGGCCUUGGAAUGGCAGCACUGCCCAGGCUGCUGCCCUGCGAGAGCCAGUGUUCCCUUGGCUGUCCUCGUGGCCAGACAGUUCGUCAUUUUAAGUUUUAUGAAUGCUAUUCAUGGAGACAAAAUGAUAACGUCAUAAAUUGAUUCCUCAUAUUCGCAGGAUUAAGGAACACAGACAUAAGUGAAUAGUGAGUUUCUGCUGAUACUUGUAUUUCUUGAUAAAGAUAAAAAAAAAAAAACUACACACACACACACACACACACACACACACACACACACACACACACACACACACAGAGACAGUUAAUAAUACGUAUGAAUGAUCAAGUAAAACUAACUAAACUUAAUGCCUGGAACAAAGAUGGUGAAUGGA